UGAGAAGUCUGAGGGAGCCUAGA
rnacentral:misc_RNA from 1 species